AGAAACAGAUGAGUGUUUAACCUCCUGAGACCAAACAUAUGUUACUAUGAAGUAGCAAACUUGCAUGUUUGUUGCCCCUUUCGUGGCUGGAAGCUGAAGAUGUUUUGGCAUCACUAGUUAAAGUUUGAUAAAGCUUCCUGAGCUCAGCAUGUCCCGCUGUUGUUCGGGAGAGAUACCGGCUCAGCUGGCUGCUUUUCCAGGCAGCACCGCUCUCCCCUGGCCUCCCCCUGCAGACACCAACUUCUGUGUGAUAAGGAGAAGUUUUCAGCUCUGAACACUCAUCAAAAACACCACUCCCCCGGACUCAGUGAAGCAGAAAACCAAAAGUUAGUCUUCAGUGGUUGGGGAAAAUCCUGAAAGUUGGCAGAGGUGGUCUCCGGAUGAUCCAGCCCAGUUUUUCCAGGACGAGGGAGCAAAGAGCUGGCAAGUGCAGAUUCCAGUUGCUCCUGGAGUCACAAAGAAGGGAAGAGGAAACACCGUGAUGAGGGGAUAUAAACCCACAUGCGGGGACAUGAAGCAGAGGACACGCUUGGACUGUGACCACUGACAACCUCUCAGCUACAUGAGGAGUUCAAGGAGUGCACCACAGUUUGUCAGUGGCUCCCAUGUACCUCUUGCUGCCCUCAUGUCUGAAUGUCACCUUCCCAACUCUUCUGUGUGGUCAGAGCACAGGAGCCGGACUUCGGGAUGAAUCCAGCAUCAGAAAGGUGCUCCACGAGGACAAUUCCUGUGCUCCAGCCAAACCAGACUGGAAAACCCAACCAGGUGUGCAAGAGGGAUGUGGGGCCCCCGUGACCAGCUGGAGACCUGCUCCCAUUUGGCUUUCCCAUUACUUUCCAAUGUAGAUGGAGCCAUGUAACACUCAGAGACCAUCAGCAGCAACACACCAGUUAUGGAAAAGACUCCAAAUCGUCACCAAAAAGAGGACUGGGUAAUACUGUGAAUUUCAAGUCUUUGAUGAACCAUCAUUCC